ACUCACCGACGGGUCUCGCGCGCUCCGGUGUGCUGAGUAGUAGAGCGCUGGGCUUUUCACCGGAAGCCGCUGAGAGACACCGUCCUGGAGCAAUGCAGAGUAAUGAGGCGUAAACCUCCUCACGGCUUGCAAACAACGUCGCAUCAUAAUGAAGAGAUAUCAGUGUUAAUAAAUAAACAAAUAUUCCACUCCACACGUUUGUUCAAAACAUGAUACCGGCGGCUGCUGCUGCUAAAAUCUGCACAGCGACAUGCUUUAUAACUUAACCAUACGGUUUCUGUUCAUAUCGGAACAAAAUAAUAUUUCUUCUGGUGAACGAGUUGUUAAUAAAAGCUCGAAAACAGCAUUGGGCCGGUGACUCUAAGGGCAGCUAAAAGACACUGACGUCAGGUCAUCUACUCCUCCUACUUCCUGGAGACGGAGGGAAGAUCGAGAAAGCAGUAAGGCAUGCUAAACUGGAAAGGAUCAGUAACGUUACACACAGAUCAGAACUUGAAGAAACCACCCAAACUGGUUUUGUCAAGGCUUUGUGUCAGGAGCACACCUGUCAGAGAGAGGCGAGGGUGGGUCAUGUUGCUCUCAUACUGGUGUGUAGGGAGGCACUGCGCCGAGUUCUGGAGGAAGAGAGACAACUUUAUGCUAAAGAACUGAGCCAAAAAGGCCUGGCCAUUUAUCAGCAAAGGAUAUAAUCUAUUACACUGAAAUACACUCAACAAACCUUCCUGAUCCUCCUUACGUACUAACAGCUGUCACGUCCUUGUUUUCACUACCAUAAUCACAAUUUUCAGAUAAAGCCUACAAAAAACCCCUGUGUUAUUUCUGUCUAUUUAGCAAUACUAUAAUGUACA